UACGGAGGAGGCAAGCGUUAUCCGGAAUUAUUGGGCGUAAGGCGUCCGUAGGUGGUUUAUCAAGUCAGCUGUUAAAGCGUGGGGCUUAACUCCAUAAAGGCGGUUGAAACUGAUGGACUGGAGUGCGGUAGGGGUUACGGGAAUUCCCAGUGUAGCGGUGAAAUGCGUAGAUAUUGGGAAGAACACCGGUGGCGAAAGCGCGUAACUGGGCCUGCACUGACACUGAGGGACGAAAGCUAGGGGAGCGAAAGGG
rnacentral:misc_RNA from 1 species